CAAUUUUCGUGUAUUGUAGAGGAGCUACCUACAAUUAAUUUGAAAAUAAUGAGUCCUUUAGCUAAUACGGAGUGAAAUUUAACCGUAGGCAUAAUAUAGUUAUUAUAUUUUAUUAUAUAAUAUAUUAUAUUUUUAUAUUAUAUAAUAUAUUAUAUUUUUGUCGCACAACUAGAGAAACAGAUAUUCUUCCGGUCGCCGGACAAGUAGACGCAGCCUAUAAUAUUUCAUUGGCAAAAACUGCAAUCUAAUAGCAUAAGUUAAUUAUUCAAGAUAGAAAUGGUUACUUCUCCAGUAUUAACAAAAGCUUAUAACUUGCUUUUUAAGAGGUCCUCAACGUUUGCUGUGACUAUAAUUGUUGGAGCCUUUCUUUUUGAAAGAACUUUUGACCCUAUCAUGGAUGGUAUUUGGGAACGAAGAAAUCAAGGGAAAUUGUGGAAUCACAUCAAAUCAAAGUAUGAAUCGCCAGCUGAAAACUAGUCAACAUGAUACGAUGUUAUUGAACUUUAAUAGUUGCAAUUGUUACUUUAAAAUAUUGUUACUGUAACUUUGAGAUGAUUGCGAUAUUUGAAUGAAA